UUAUGGCGAGUAUCAAGAGGGCUACCAAAGACCUAUAUUUGUUCUUGAUUAGGGAGAUAGCAAAUCUAUUAUCUACAAAAUAAUUCUAAUCAAAAAUUGAUUAGUUUCAGUACCAAUUUUAGAAAUUGAUAUUAAAUGUAAAAGUUCAUAUUUGCUAAUCUAAUCUUUUCAUAACACAGUGCAACAGUGAUUCUGAAAUUUUAAAGAAACAUAGUAGGAAUUGUUUAUCUGGUCGACUAUAACACAAAACCGUCUGUAUGUAAUAGUGUGUGCCCAGAAAGGCAUUUGAAAUGUCCCCCAGCGUGCGCUCUCCUUUGACGAGAAAAAGGACGAGUCGACGACGACAAACAAGAUUGCAGCAAUAAAAUUUCGACAAGUGAACAACAAAUGAUAAACGAAGCAGCAGCUUGGGAUAAAAAGCAGAACCAGAAGCCCAAGCACAAGCAGCAGCGAAAGGAGCAGCUCCAAGAGGUCAGUUGGGGAGCACUUGAGAUGCCGGUGGCUGGCCAAGGAUUCUGUCCGGCUCACUUCAACUCAGUUUGGUCCUCUCCGGGCCAAACAAUCUAAUGUGAGCCGCAUCGAUUACGCUUCCACUGCCCCUCGUACUGUGUAUUUUGGCCGACGUCUUGGUCCCGUUCCACUAUUAUUUAAGGCAUUGCUAGAAAUAAUAUGAAAUUUAUGUAUCUCAAAGAAUAUACAAGUCUCAUACUUAAUAAAAAUAAGCAAUUCCUUUUAUUCUAA